rnacentral:sRNA from 1 species
CCAGCUAUGAGGAGUUCACCCACAAGGACGGGGUCUGGAACCUGCAGAAUGAGGUUACUAAGGAGCGCACAGCUCAGUGUUUCCUGCGUGUGGAUGAUGAGUCAAUGCAGCGCUUCCACAACCGUGUGCGUCAGAUUCUCAUGGCCUCUGGCUCCACCACCUUCACCAAGGUACAAGGCCGUCAUCCCCGGCUUCCCUCUUGUCCUCUGCUGUCCUCUGCUCAUUUCACAUCCCUUUCACUUCUUCCCCUGCUGGCUUCUUCCUUCUCCUCUGCUUAGUGUGCCAGUUUCCAUGCUCUGUGCAAUAGU